AGGAGAGAUGGCUUAAAGGGGUGCGAGAGCUUCUUUCUUGUACCUGCUCUAGGAUGGGACUGCGGCCGAUCAGGCUGUUGGUGGGGUAAUGGCCCACCAAACCUGUAACCGGUACGGGCCUUGAGAGAGGGGGCCCGGAGAUGGACACUGAGAGAAGGGUCCAGGUCCUACGGGGCGCAGCAGGCGCGAAACCUUCGCAAUGCGCGAAAGCGUGACGAGGUUAAUCCGAGUGGUCCCCGCUGAGGGGAUCUUUUGUUGGCUCUAAAACGGCCAGUGAAUAAGGGGAGGGCAAGUCUGGUGUCAGCCGCCGCGGUAAUACCAGCUCCUCGAGUGGUCGGGGCGAUUAUUGGGCCUAAAGCAUCCGUAGCCUGUUCCGUAGGUCUUCUGUUAAAUCCAACGGCUUAACCGUUGGCCUGCAGGAGAUACCGCGGGACUAGGAGGCGGGAGAGGUGGACGGUACUCUACGUGUAGGGGUAAAAUCCUUUGAUCCGUAGAAGACCACCAGUGGCGAAGGCGGUCCACCAGAACGCGCUCGACGGUGAGGGAUGAAAGCUGGGGGAGCGAACCGGAUUAGAUACCCGGGUAGUCCCAGCCGUAAACGAUGCGAGCUAGAUGAUCCAAUCGCAAAUCGCGAUUGGAGUGUCGCAGGGAAGCCGUUA
rnacentral:rRNA from 1 species